AGUGAACGCUGGCGGUAGGCCUAACACAUGCAAGUCGAACGGCAGCACAGUAAGAGCUUGCUCUUACGGGUGGCGAGUGGCGGACGGGUGAGGAAUAAAUCGGUAUCUACUUUUUCGUGGGGGAUAACGUAGGGAAACUUACGCUAAUACCGCAUACGACCUACGGGUGAAAGCAGGGGAUCUUCGGACCUUGCGCGAUUGAAUGAGCCGAUGUCGGAUUAGCUAGUUGGCGGGGUAAAGGCCCACCAAGGCGACGAUCCGUAGCUGGUCUGAGAGGAUGAUCAGCCACACUGGAACUGAGACACGGUCCAGACUCCUACGGGAGGCAGCAGUGGGGAAUAUUGGACAAUGGGCGCAAGCCUGAUCCAGCCAUACCGCGUGGGUGAAGAAGGCCUUCGGGUUGUAAAGCCCUUUUGUUGGGAAAGAAAAGCAGCAGGUUAAUACCCCGCUGUUCUGACGGUACCCAAAGAAUAAGCACCGGCUAACUUCGUG
rnacentral:rRNA from 1 species